UGAGCAUCUUUUCGUGCACCUGUUCUAGGGGCUUGUGGACCGGCUUCCCGACGGAGACAUUGAACACCUUAAGAAUUCUCUCUUCCACCAGGGUGCUGGGACUUCCCCGGGCUUCUGGAUGCCCAGACUCCCACACAGACACUCUCAUGCCCGGCCGGCUUUCAAAAUCAAUGUUUUGCGCAAGGAUGAUGUAGGGAACCUGUCUUCUCCCAACUCGCUGACACCACUUGGAAUGACUUGCUUUUAUCAUACAUCCGCGUGGUGCUAAAAUAUUGCUUAAUUCUAGUUAACUAUUAGCUUUACAAAACCAAUAUCAAAAAAAUGAAAAAAAACGAUAUCAUGUUA